AAAACAAAAGGUUCAGAGAAAAUCUUCCUUUUUCAUCUCACAGCCUGCUACUGGCGUAUUUUACCAAAGCGUAGGCACCAACUGCACCGAUAGCAAUGCCUUCCAUCACUAGUCCGACGGAUGCCAACACGCUGCCCAAAAGAGCGGGAAUUCCGACGGCUGCCGAGGUAGCACCUAAUGCUUCUACUCCGUUCUAUGCGUAUCGAGUGCGAUCUCCAAAAUAUUUUUUCUCAGCGCUUCAGUGCAGAGAGAAGGUAGAAGUCAUGAGUUAGGCCGGGCGGUUGGGAAAGCGAGGGGAAGUCCCUGUUUUGUUUGAGAGCAGAGGUUGUUUGUGCAGUAGAAGCACGGGGAUUUCCCACUUCACUUACCUUGACCUUUGACCUGCGACGUCUGCACCAACCCCGGCGGAGAGGAGGAAAGGGAGUGGAGAAGGGGGUUGCGCUAGAACCGGCUCAUCCCUACUACUUUUGUAAUAUUAAAUCACGUUUACAUGCCCCUCCCCCCAUGCGCCCGUGAAACACCUGUUGCACACGAAUUCCAUAUUUAAACAGAGGGUUUGUCGUCCGUUAGCUUUGACUUAUAUAAAAGCUGGCAAAGCUGAUUGAUUCUCAGUCAGUCUGUCACUGCUGUGCAAGGACGAAGGACGAAACAACAGGUAAGCCCAUACAUCUCGCUAUUCCACCAGGUAUGCAGUGAUAGAAAUACUGAAUAUUCCCUUUCAGGGUUAUACAUCAUAAGUGGUUAAGUGCUGCCAUGUUUUGCGUAAAGGCAAUUUUAAAACUAUGGGGGUGUCUCUCUUCAUCACCAGUGCAAGAUGGGCAUUAUUCCCAGAACGUCUCCAAUGUUUGUGAGAAUAGAUUCUUCUGUCCUCAGCUUUUAACUCUUCUCGAUGUCUGUUCAGCACUUCACCUUCUUCACAGGACCAAUAAGACUAUUUCAGUCAGGUCAUAUUCAGAGACCAGACUGUUCGCUCGUCUCCCGAUGCCUUUUGUAAAAUUCGGGCACUCGAAAGGACAGAUGCCUGUCACAGAAUCUUGUCGAGGAAAAUACGUCAAAAUUCCUAAGCACAGAGCUUAAGCGAGCUAAGCGAGACCUGAGGUCAGUCCUAGUCAUGUACAUUCAGGGCACACGUCGUGUCAUGUGCACGCGGAAGUUUUGACCAUAAUGCAUUUGUCCUUCCCCGGUGAGCGAUAGGGAUAACCGAGCAUUGACUGUUCUCGCAAGUCGGAUGACACUUCCAGAGCUCCGUAAAAAGAAGAGCUCUCGGUGGAUCCCAGGUUCUCCCCUGUCAAUUUCGCCCCUGUCGUAUGCAGAGCUUGAAAGAAAAG